UGGUAGUUGAUAUACAUCAGAAUACGGUCGAGUAUUCAUGUCGGUCGUGUACAGAUACGUGGUAUGUACUAUUUUUAUUAUCCCUUCUUUGACUACGGAUGGACCUUAUAUGUUUACUUCUUCGCUUCCUGUUCAUCUCCUUACUCCUGUCCUACAUUUUUAAUCUGGAAGAACUCUUUUUCUCCUGUACAUCGCCACUGUUGUUUCAUCUUCUCUCAUCCGAUUCUUUCUAUUCCCUUCACAUUCAUGUAAUUUCUUUGCUUUGCUGCUUCACCUACUGUGGGUAUUCUGUGCACUAUCAAUAUGGGAUCUUUUCGAGAGGAGUUUAAUGGAUUAAAGUUGCAAUUCGACAGGUAAUUUAUUGUGUUACUUCUUCUCUUCUACUACUAUUCUUACUUAGUCACAUAGGUCACUCCUAUCUUUCUAUCUGCCAUUUUAUCGAUACAGAUUUGCAGACCUCAGGUUAUCUGAUGCAAAGUCUUGUUUACUAUCUCACUUUGUGCGGACUACUUUGAUGUUACUAACAUUCAAUCAUCACACGAUUCUGAAUCGGCAACUGGGGAAUAUGGUUGUCUUUCACAACAAACUUUUUUUUACAGACCCACAGAUUCAGGAAUCUGAAUCUGUGCCUUCUCUCGAUUCAGUGCCAAUGGAUAUGUGAGUUUAUUCUGAAUACAACAUCAACAUACUAGGUGAUUCUGAAAUAUUUUCCUUCCAUAUAAGUAGUUUAUUUCUGCAUCCUCAAGUUAUGUUAUCUAAAACUUGUUGCAUUUAAGUUUCGUUCGUGUUACUUAACUAGUUCUUAAUGUCAUCAUGUACUGUAGCUUUCAAAAUUUUAUGCAUUCUAAACUUAGUGCUGAUUGUGAUACUGAUUCUAGUUUAGACCAAAUGUCUUCGCUCUCUAAUAUGAGUAUGCCUCCCAGUCCAACUUCGUCUGAUAUACCUCUGCCAGUCAGUAACGAAUAUAAUAGAUUGUCUCAACUUUUUUCUCGGUACAGACUUCUAUUCCAGUCAUUUCUACAAAUGUUGAUCACCAAUUGGAUUUUUCUAAAAUUUUAGUUUUCUUUCUCACUUAUUUUGCUUACUUUUUUCGGUUGUCAAGAGAAUGUAAAUUAUACUCAUAUCUGCUCACAGCCGAUAGAUGAUGAACAUGAGGGGGAACCUGAUCCUAAUGACACUGCUGACUACAACAGAGUUUCACAAGAAUUUGAAGGAUGACACAUCAGUCUUCAUUCUACCAAUGUCUCAUUUGAUUCACUUGAUGUUCUGUCCGAUGUUCCUCCCUUGAUAUUGCUCAGUUUCACUCUAUGCCUUCACCACAAUCACCUCAAUCAGUGCAUACUAAUGCUUCAGAUGAUUCCACUACAGGUAAUUAACGCUUGUCAUCUUCUAUGCCAAUAGAUGAAAAAAAUGAUGCCGACGAGCAAACAUGCACCGGCAACUCAUAUGUCACAUGACAAUUCCGUUCCACAUGUUCAGCCAGCAAAGAAUUCUCGGUUUUGUGCUCUCCGAAAAUCAUUAUAUGCCUAUUCAACAUGGACAACAGAAACUAGUAUGUGCGAAUCUAUCAGAACAUGCUUAAAUACUCUCACCGAGGGAUAUAACUUCUAAAAUUAAUACAAUUGGGAGAUGUCUUUGGCAUCUGGUAUGGAAA